AGAAAGCCAUCCUGCUUGAGAGAGCUCACCAUGGCCUGGGCUCUGUUUCUUGUGGCCCUUCUCAAUUAUUGUUCAGGUGUCACUUCACAGGCAGCACUGACUCAGCCGGCCUCCCAGUCUGUAUCUCUGGGCCAAACCACUAAACUCUCCUGCUCUCAAAGUAGUGGUGGCAGCUGGGACAGCUACUUUAGCUGGUAUCAACAGAAACCUGGACAGGCUCCUCGCUUGGUGAUCUAUGAUAACAGCAACAGGGGAGAAGGGAUCCCUGAUCGGUUCACUGGUUCUGCCUCUGGGAACCCUGGCUAUUUAACCAUCUCCAACAUCCAGGCUGAAGACGAGGCAAUUUAUUACUGUGGAGAUUGGGAGGAUGACAGCAGCAUGUUUCACGGUGGUACAGUCUGA